GCCACGUGAUGAUUGAGUAGCUGCAGUAGCUGUCCAGCCGUGAUGACCUGCUAUCUAUCACCCUUUUCUGAUGGCU
rnacentral:snoRNA from 1 species